GGCCUCUUCCUUUUCAGGAUUCAACCUUGAUGUGAUCCGUUCUGAAUCCAGUUCCAAUCUGAAAAGCUGCAGGAUCUUGAACGGAAAUUGUUGUCAUCAACGGAAGACAUGAGAGUCCAGUAUGGAAAAGCCAUUCAGGAGAGCAUCAGCGCAAACAAGAAGUUGGAGGCCGAGUUCGAAGUCAUUGAAACGAAGAAAGUAAAGCUUGCCAACUACCUCUGCGAGGACCCAAACAAGUUGUCUUGGAAGAUAUGUUUAACACCAUGAAAACUUUCCGGGAUCUCUACAUCAAAGCGUUUAAAGG